rnacentral:rRNA from 1 species
GACAGAGGGUGCAAACGUUGUUCGGAAUUACUGGGCGUAAAGCGAGUGUAGGCGGUUUGGUAAGUCGGAUGUGAAAGCCCCCGGGCUCAACCCGGGAAGUGCACUCGAUACUGCCAAGCUAGAGUAUCGGAGAGGUUGGUGGAAUUCUCGGUGUAGAGGUGAAAUUCGUAGAUAUCGAGAGGAACACCGGUGGCGAAGGCGGCCAACUGGACGAAUACUGACG